AGUAGCUCAGCGAGGCUGCGCGGCGGCGGCAUCAGCAGAGGGCCGGCGCUGCGGGAGGACCUGCCGGCCCGGGGCCUGGGUCUUGUCCAGCCGUCCGUUCGGCACCCCCAGAACAGCACUUGCUGGAGGGUCUCAGCUCAUAUAUACGCGGGGAGGGGGCUGUUAGGGAGGAUCGAGUCGGACACAGAACUUCGUAAAUAGUAGGAGUGUCUCUCCAGCCUGUCUUCACUCUCUUCACAGCUAAAAUUCCCUGGCAGCCUGUAACUAUGCGAACGGAAAGUACUAUUUGCAGAGACUGAAAUCCAGCAGGCGUUAGUGCUCCCAUGGCACGUUGUUGCUUUGGCUGUACUCUUGGGCCGUCAUCUCUUCCAAGCUGAGCUGUUGUCAGGAGGCGAAAACAGCCACGCGUGACCCUGGAUGUGUAUGGAGAAGUGCGUUUUGUCAGCGUGAAAGUCUGACCGCACACUCUCAGGGCUCAGGGUCGUGUGGGAGGGCAGGUGACCGGCACCCAGAGGCCCCAGCUGGGCCUGGAGCGUGUGUCUGGACCUGAAUUGUGCAGCCUCCUGUGUGCAAACUGGGGAUAAGGAUUGGAUCAACACAAACCGUAGGUUUGCGUUUUUGCCUGCAGAAAAGACGUUCUAGACUUUACUGAGAGGAAACUGGUGCAUAUGCAGAAGGCUGACCUGAGGGCUGACCCGCAAUAGGACACCUUCAGCCUGGGCCUUAGGCUGCAGUGGAAAACCCCUCUCCACCCCUGGUAACUCCGGGCCUUCACAGCUGAGGGGAUGGACUGCAUCUCUACUUAGAGUUCCAGGGUGUUCUUGUGAGAUUGAAAACAAAACUCAGACAUUGGUACCUUGAAGCUUUUCGGAUGGAUUUAAAGGAAACGGGGAGAAGGUCUUCCAUAAGAUUAUGAUUGGGCGUCCUGCCAUCCGAUCGCCUCCACACGGCAACUUUGCAGGGACCUUUUAAAACAAUCAAAUGAUGUCACUCCCUGUUCCAACGCUGUGGUGACUACCCAUCACUUUUUGAUUAAAUUCUAAACCCUGCCUGGUUUUAAAAGCCCAGGUCUUGCCUGGCACGACCGCUUCUUCUCUUUGACAAAACAGUGGCAGUGGUUACAGGACUGAUGACCCAGGUGAGUCAAGAUGUUGAUGAUCGUGACACCUGCUCUGGGCCGGCUCUGCUCUGCGUGCUUUAUGUAUAUAUCGCGGCCCAUUUAACCCUCACAUCCCUGAGGUCGGUACUAAUGCGUCCCCAUUUUACAGGUGAGAAGCUUGAGGCAUCCGCUCAGGGUCACUCGACAAGUCAGUGGCAGAGCUGGCUCGGAGCUGUGCGCCUCCCUUGCUCACCGAGGUCAUAGGCACCCUCCUCCUACCUGCCAAGCCUCCAAGUGGCUCCCUUGACCGGAGGUGCGGCUCUGUGACCUUUCUGAACAACUCUUAGUUGUGGCAUGCAUGCGGGAUCUAGUUCCCCGACCAGGGAUCGAACCCAGGCCCCCUGCGUUGGGAGCACGGAGUCUUACCCACUGGACUGCCAGGGAAGUCCCUAUUCUCUGCAUUAUAAUCCAGUGCUGUUCUAUAUAUUUAGCCACUCAUAUCAGUUCCAGCUCUGCCCAUUGGGAGCUCUCCGGUUGGCUUCUUUGUCCUUUUGGCAUUCUGCAUCCUGUGGUUUUUUGAGCACUUCCUUACUUUCUGGCACUGCCAGGUGCUCCAGGCUCAUCUCGUAUUUUCUCUUCCACCCAUUCUCCAAGGAGCCUGACUGCUUUGUUUGAGGACAGUGUUUAGAAACCAUAUGUGGCAGUGGAUGAGCUCACUGGGCUCCUGCUGGAGCUGCUGGGCGCCCCUGCCUCUGGGCCCUGUCAGUGUACAUGCUUGUCUCCUUAUUUUUAUAUCUCUCUUUCUGGAAAUAUAUUAAAAUCUUUGUACCUUUCUCUGAGAACCAGAGCAUGGUGCCUGUCACCUGCACCUGCGAUGCAAUUAGCAAAUCCUUCUAAUAGGUGAAUUCUGUGUCCCGACUUGGAUGUGUGCUGGAGGAGGUGUUCCUACUUUUGUGAUUGAUUGGUUGACUGUGAGCCCCCAGCUUCUUCUGUCUCUCUCUUGUGAUGACGGGUGUGUCCUUCCCCCAACGCUAGCACCACUCAGUCGUUACCCUUCAUCUUUAAGCUCUGUUUCCAGUUAUUCAGCCUCAUACACCGGGCCACUGAUUGAACCUGCUGUCAUUUGUUUGUUCACCCCCACGGGUUACUAGAUAAUCUCUGAUGUGGUGUCCUCCUCACUCUGUGACCCCCUUUCUACCCCAGGACCCUCCUCCCUCCUGGCCCCGUGACCCGCUCUCGACUCCCUGACCUCUUCUGAGCACGGUGCAGCUCCUCUCCUGCGUGUGUGCUUACAUUCUCUCAGGCAGCGACUUGCACACUGUCUUGGCUGUGCCCUCAGGUGCCCGGUAGCAACAUUGGGGCAGCGCCAUGAAGCUGUGCUGGCUCUUUCUCUGCAAUACAGCUUCCCAUUGUCUGUUCCACAUGUAGAUUUUAUGCCCCAUGCUCGGAGAAGUGCUGUUCUGGGGGCGCACCCCCCAGUGGUGUAUGGAGAGUUACGCUCCUCCUGCCCUUCUCUCUGAUUACCUCAGCGGUUUCCUUUCCUUUUUGUCAGCUGAUGGGUGACGCCAUCAUUUUGGUCAUGAUUGCAGUUGCUCGGGAGACCAUGCAGCCCUAUGCUCAAUGGCAGUUCGGGUUCCUCCUCUCUGAAUGUCCUCUUUAUAGCC